GGAACUUACUGGUUUCUUAGAAGGCCACUGGUAAGCAGGGAUGUUUGAUCAUCCGUCACCCCAGCCUUGAACGCAAAGCGACAGUUGUAGAACAAAUGACUGAUCAAGAAGCAGAAAAGUGCACGGCUGUGGGUCACACCGGGCAAGCCUGAAAUCAAGCUGGAGAAAGAUGCCAGCGAGCCUGUCGCCUGCCCUGUGCUAGCCAGACUGCCCCGUGCCCGGUCAAAUGUCUCCUGGGCAGCCAGCUGCAGUGAGGCCCCAGUGCCCUCUCCGCGGCUUAGUCACCGCCGCCCAGGGCGACCUCACACCGUCCUCGCAGAGGACGACUCCCAGGAGAGGGACGCCGCAAUCCCAAACUUGAUGCAACCUCCCAACUCCAAACCUCCCUCCUGCAGGCAGCCACCCGGGCUCUUCCACCAGCCGAAGCGGGCCAGCAGGCUGCCGCGGACCUGCCUCAGUGGCCACGGGCCGUAGGGAGAAGCACCCUUCCCUCCCGGCAGCCGACCGCACACCCGCGGGGCUGAGGGCGCUGGGGAAGAGGCGGAGAACCGCGGCCCCGGUCACCGCCCCCACAGCUCCCUGCUUGUGGCCUGGGAAAGCAGUUGAGGAUGGCCC